CGUCAUUGCCAUUUGUGUUUGUGAGUGAAAAUUAUUCUUAAUUUUCUUACAAAUUAUCAUUUUUCCUGAAAUAAAUAAUAGUAUAGUGUUGAAAAAUCAAUAUGGAUAAAAAGUCGAGACGUUCAAAUCCGGGCAAUUUGCUCGCCAAAGUACUUGAUGAAGAUGAAUUUUAUGCGACAACGUACGGAGAAUUCCACGAAACUGAGGAAGACAAUGAUUACAAGAAACGUCGACGUCUCUGUCAAGUCAUUGGCGUUCCAAGUUAGCAGUGGCCGGCCAGCUGGUUGGUGCAGAGAAGGUUGAGGAACAUGACAGUGUCCCACUGGACCUGUCUGUCGAGCGUAAAUCGAUAAGACAGAGUACAGCAGUGAAGUCAGCUGAGACUCAGCGGAGGAUGAACAUUAGAACCAAACUGAAAAAAAGAUAGCCAAAGAAGGAGGAAGAUCGGCCCACGCAGGAGGAAUUGUUGGCUGAAGCUGUGAUUACGGAGAGUGAAAACCUUAAAAGCUUAGAGAGAUUUAAACAAAUUAAGUUGGAAAAGAAGAAGAUACAGUCCAUAAUGAAAACUAUCACCGAUCCAAUUAUUUGAUACCAUUCCUUGGCAGUUCCUAUUAUUGAAGAAAUUCCUGAUGAGGAUGAAAAGCCUAACUUGUUCGAAGAUAAUAUAGGUGCUAUAUAAUAUCGAAAUUGAAAAUGAAAACCAGCCCUCUACACAGACUUUUUGAGCAAGCUGCCGUGUUUCAGCGUGGAAGCCUUGCGUACCAUCCGCGAAACUUACCGCCAGCAGCUAGAGGCUUGACUUGAUAAGAACGACCCCAACGUCGCCGCUUGGCUCAAGUGGCUGAACAUUCCUACGUAAAAAUAAAUAUCUAGUAAACACUUGAUAAGUCCAUGUACAUAUCAAGCUAUACAAAACUAUCAAAGCUGACCGUUCAAUUUGUAGCUAGGACAUAUGAAGCGAGUCCAAGACAAACUGGAUUUGUAUAGCUUGAUGUGCAACCAAUAUUUGUUUAGUUUGCCAUUUAUAUCGGCCAUCAAAGCCAGUAUACAUUUGUAUUACUAUAUUCAUAUACACAACUUAUUACUUACUAAAUAUACUAUAAACUAGCUUAAAGAGUAUUUACAUAAAAAUAUAUUUGUUAUGUAAUACUCUUUAAACUAGCUUAAAAAAUAUAUUUUUUAUGUAAUACUCUUUAAGCUAGUUUUCGUAGAGACGGUGGAAUACAAUAACGUCAAAAUUCGGCGUGCAUUGUAAGGUAGUCUUAGUUUUAUUUUAUGCCGCCAAGAUGUUUUAGAUCGGAGCGCAUUUGUCCAACAUGUUGGGGCAACUUAAAUGCUAAAACAGUGAUUCCGUAGUGUACGGCGCGAAUCUAUCACAGUCCACGCCGGCCAAUGAGAACGCACGAACGCGCCAUAUAAAUAUGCUAGCUUUGCGCGCGAGACUCAGUAGGAUUCGCCGCCCUAGACAUGCCCUCCUAGAACCAGAUGAUGAUAUAACUGUCCUCCAAGAGAGCAGUAAACUCACUAGCACUCUACACAAACACAAACCGCGUUCGUACAGACCCCGCCGCCGAGGUCCGCCGCGACGUCUCGAUCUUUGUCUUCCCGACGCCGGUGGAGCUGGAGUGGAUGCAUGCGUGUUGUGUUCAUCCAUGUUGAACGUGUACGCCGGUUUUAGUCGAUAGUGCUGGAUCUUCCUGGAAGCUGGAUGGUGAAGUACUUGUCGUUGCGUUCGAUGACCUUGUACGGACCUUUGUAUGGUUGUUGCAGCGGUUUGCGGACGGCGUCGUCGCGUAGUAGCACGUGACUGCAAGUUUUAAGAUCGUUGUUGUUACUGUUGUUGUCGUUUUCAGUUUUUGAUUUUGUAGAGUAUUUUAAUUUAGAAAAACUGGUCUAACAAGUAUUGCUAAUAUAAAAGGCGGGUCUUUUUUUUUUAACUACUUUAAAAGUCUUCUAAUGACCCCUCCCGCUGUGGGUUAGCAGCGGUGAGGGAGUGUCAGACUCUUACUGACUAAAAACCGUCGUGUUCCGUCAUAGGCCUCCCGUCAUGUACCAGGGCCCCGGUAUCUCUUUCGAACAACCCGCAGCCCCGGCAGGCCUUGGCCCUACUGGACCCCGCUGGGGUUGAGCUGAGCCACAACUAGCACUCCAUCACGUCUUCCUCCUCGCCCUGACUGACGCAGAAAUGGGCGCCGCGGCAGCAGCAGCGGCGCACUGACCGCAGCGGAAACAGUGGGCGCUGCGGUCGACCUCCUAGGUGCAACGGACACCCCAAUGAUGCCAGACGUGGCAUCGGAAGCACCUCAGCGGUCUGGGGUCAAGCAGCUUGACUUGCGCCGACAUCCAGCCAACCAGCAGUCUUCGGCCGUCUACGAUGGUCUUGGCCGCCGUCACGGGGCAGCUCACCGUAAUGGUGCUCAUGCCCCUGAAGUCGGCACGUAUGGUGCCCGCCUUAACUUCAUCGGCGGAGCAUCCACCCGUCCUAGCGACGGCGGCCACCACCUCCUCCGUAGUGACUGAGUCGUCCAGGCCCAGGAUGCGCAGAUCUGCGCACUUGUAGGGCCUGGAGACUCGGGAGCCAUCCGCAUUUAUGGUCGCCCUGAGCCUCUCGGCUAGAACGUCUGCGGCGGGCCCACUGGCCGCUCCUGGGACCUCCACCAUUCGGGCGCCCGUUGCGGUCACCCUGAGCCGAAGGCCCUCGGUGAUGCCCAGCUCGGCUAGGCUCACCGCCUCCUUAGCUUUAGCGAGCACGUCGCGGUACGACACGCCCCUCUUGACCGCGUCCGGCUUUAGCGUGAGUACUAAUGCUGCAGUCUUGGGGGCGCAGAGUUGCGCCGCAGCGGCUCGCUCGCUGCGCCGCCGUCUUUGGGCCUUCUUUUUGGCCGUUUUGACCGCCCUCCGUCUCUUUUUCUUCUCCCCCACUACUUGCCACUCAGACUCAAUGGCAGGAGAGGUAGGGGCCGCAGACGGAGUCGGCUUCGGAAGGCGUUUCGCCGCCACAGGUGCCGACGGGACCGGUGCCGCUGUUGGCACCGGUGUCCUCUGCGCCCGGACCGCAGUUGCGGCCUUGGGGUUUGACUGGGCGGCCCGUUCGGCGCCGCGACAGGGGGCUUGCUCGGCGGUCCCCUUCUGGGCGGGGGUGCCGUUGCAGCCGCAGCCGCAUAAGAGGCCCUUUGGGCCGCUGGGGCUUCGGCUCCGCGAGGGGGGGCGCAGAACCCUGCCAGGAUGGAGAAGCGCACCUGGAAGGCCGCCAUCUCCUGUCGCACCAGGGCCAGGACCUGGCUCUCCACAGGGGAGGACUGCGGUUGCUGCAGAGUGGUCCCGCUGCGUUCGGCCUCCUGCUCUCUCAUUUUUCUCAAGUCUGCCCGGAGACUCCUGUUCUCCUUCAGGAUCGACUCCAGGACGGCCGUGAAACGAGCCACCUCUUCUUGUAGCUUGACCAGAUCGCUCUUUGGAGCUUGGUCGAAGCUUACUUCAGCUGCCGCAUUUAUAGAGGCGGAUGCCGUAACUAUCGCCCUGUGCCGAUUGGCCUUGAGGCGCUUUAGGGACACAUCCCUGAAUGUGGCCGCCACCGUCUUGGCGAAAUUGGCCCUACGCUCCUGGUCGGAGCCGACGGCCGCCGCGUCCUCCUCGGAAGAGCUUUGUUGAGCUGCUCCUCCGUUGUCUUUGGGUGCCUCAGCAACCCUCUCUUCAACCGGUCUCCGGUCGGCCUUUUUGGCCGAGGCCCCGCGGCCACCGGAGGAAGACCCCUGGUCGUCCUUCUUCCUCUUAAGAAACGCCUUGAGCCGGUGCUCCUUCUUGCUUUGGGGAACCCUGAGAUCACCCGCAGCUCCAUCGCUGGAUGCGGACUCGCAAUCCGAGACCGCAUCCCACUCCCUGUCGUCAUCUUGGUUUUUUUUAUUAUUUUUUUCUGAGGUAUCCAUAAAAGUUCCCACGAGUAUAAAACUUUGUAUAAAUGAAAAUGUGUGUGGUUCGCACUAUUGACCAAUUAAGCUACCCAUUUUCCAAGCUUACCACAUCCCUCACGGCUUGGAGGUUUGGGGAUUUUUUUAGAGAAGUUGAUCUUCCUCGCGGCCCGGGCGGUUAAGCCAAGACCGUCGCCGUCGGCCCCUUUCGGAGAGUCAGAGACAUGACCAUGACGGUCUCCUCAGAGGUUACGAGAUUAACGGUGGUGGGAAGGAUAUCCCCCCCACCUGCCCAGAGGCAGGGUAAGUGUACACCGGGCCCGCUCUUGCACCCGCACGUAGUCUCUCUGCUCAGCAGAGGGACCCGCGAAGGGCGAUCCUCCCUUUCAGGAUUAACCUGCACUCCUCCCGGGAUGGCCGCCUCUGGGCCUCACCGGACAGAAUAUUAGCAUGCGGACACCGAUUACCCUCGGGAAGAGCCCCGAGGGGUCCCGGCGUCCGCACCCCAGGGUGCACCACGUGGAGGUUUUCUGCCCCAGCACCACUAAAAAGCGGGUCAAAAAAAAAAUGGCGGAAAAUUGAGUUUAAAUCUUAAUACAUGUAGGGUUGGAGCAGCGAAUAAAAUGCAGUCGUUGAUUAAUCUUUUAUUUUUCCUUAAUUUGACAAGCACAAAGCACACCAUCACUCCGACCGUUACGCCGUCUUGUUCCAAUCCCCCCUCUCUUUCACACACAUGCCCUGUCUCUCUCUCAUUCACUCACGCAAUCGUUCUAUGUGAACGUACAAUCCUACAACUCGGCUGUCCUGAUACUUGUCUGCCCUCAGACAACACUACCAUCCAUUACGAUGUAAUACAAACACAACUUACAAAUAACAAAAAAAACAUUAACGUAAAAACUAAACAUAACUUCUUAUGUUGUUUAAGGUAACAGAUAGAUCU